GGGGAUGUGGUCUAGGGGUAUGAUUUUCGCUUCGCAUGGUUUCCAUAUGAUUGUGAACGGUCGCGGGUUCAAUUCCCGCCGUCUCCA